rnacentral:rRNA from 1 species
GACAGAGGCCCCGAGCGUUAGUCGGAAUUACUGGGCUUAAAGGGUGCGUAGGCGGGCGUGUAAGUGCCUUGUGAAAGCCCCGGGCUCAACCCGGGAACCGCAGGGCAUACUGCACGUCUUGAGGAAACUAGAGGCCGGCAGAACGAUCGGUGGAGCGGUGGAAUGCGUAGAGAUCGAUCGGAAUGCCAAGGGUGAAGACAGCCGGCUGGGGUUUUCCUGACGCUGAGGCACGAAAGCGUGGGGAU